UGCAAGUCGAGCGGGAUCCAUCCUUCGGGAUGGUGAGAGCGGCGGACGGGUGAGUAACGCGUACACGACCUACCUUUGACAGGGGGAUAGCCCUGGGAAACUGGGAUUAAUACCGCAUAUUAUUCUGAUUAAUAAAGGAUUGGAAUGAAAGUUCAGGCGGUCAAAGAUGGGUGUGCGUCUGAUUAGCUAGUUGGUAGGGUAACGGCCUACCAAGGCGAUGAUCAGUAGGGGGCGUGAGAGCGUGAUCCCCCACACGGGUACUGAGACACGGACCCGACUCC
rnacentral:rRNA from 1 species